UACGAAGGGGGCUAGCGUUGUUCGGAAUUACUGGGCGUAAAGCGCGCGCAGGCGGUCUUCCAAGUCAUUGGUGAAAGCCUGGAGCUCCACUCCAGAACUUCCAUUGAAACUGUUAGACUUGAGUACGAGAGAGGUGAGUGGAAUUCCCAGUGUAGAGGUGAAAGUCGUAGAUAUUGGGAAGAACACCAGUGGCGAAGGCGGCUCACUGGCGCGUAACUGACGCUCAGGCGCGACAGCGUGGGGAUCAAACAGG
rnacentral:rRNA from 1 species